rnacentral:lncRNA from 1 species
UUAACCUUCCAUUGCCACCAUUCUGAAUAAAUUAUUUUUCUAGGAAUGUGACGUUUCGACUCAUAAUUAUAUUGUGAUCUUUUGAAAAGUAAAAGUAGUAUCCUAUUGAUUCCUUAGGAUACCCUAUGAAGCGAGCUUUAAAAGAUCUAGUCUCUAACUUGUCUGCCAUUUGUCUUUUGACAUAGGCUGGACAUCUUCA